CCUACGGGAGGCAGCAGUAAGGAAUAUUGGUCAAUGGUGGCAACACUGAACCAGCCAUGCCGCGUGCAGGAUGAAGGUUCUAUGAAUUGUAAACUGCUUUUAUACGGGAAAAAACUUUCGAACGUGUUCGAAACUGAUGGUACCGUAAGAAUAAGGAUCGGCUAACUUCGUGCCAGCAGCCGCGGUAAGACGAAGGAUCCAAGCGUUAUCCGGAUUUAUUGGGUUUAAAGGGUGCGUAGGUGGACUUGUAAGUCAGUGGUGAAAGCCCGAUGCUUAACAUCGGAACUGCCAUUGAUACUGCAAGUCUUGAAUAUGUUUGAAGUGGGCGGAAUGUGUCGUGUAGCGGUGAAAUGCUUAGAUAUGACACAGAACACCGAUUGCGAAGGCAGCUCACUAAACCAUUAUUGACACUGAGGCACGAAAGCGUGGGGAGCAAACAGGAUUAGAUACCCUGGUAGUCCACGCCCUAAACGUUGAAUACUCGAUGUGUGCGAUACACUGUACGCGUCCAAGAGAAAUCGUUAAGUAUUCCACCUGGGGAGUACGCUCGCAAGAGUGAAACUCAAAAUGAAGUUAGAGCGUGAGAGAGCCGACGGACGACACGAGGGAGGAGG
rnacentral:rRNA from 1 species